rnacentral:rRNA from 1 species
AGCUCCAAUAGCGUAUAUUAAAGUUGUUGCGGUUAAAAAGCUCGUAGUUGGAUUUCUGUUGAGGACGACCGGUCCGCCCUCUGGGUGAGCAUCUGGCUCGGCCUUGGCAUCUUCUUGGUGAACGUAGCUGCACUUGACUGUGUGGUACGGUAACCAGGACUUUUACUUUGAGGAAAUUAGAGUGUUUCAAGCAGGCAUACGCCUUGAAUACAUUAGCAUGGAAUAAUAAGAUAGGACCUCGGUUCUAUUUUGUUGGUUUCUAGAGCUGAGGUAAUGAUUAAUAGGGAUAGUUGGGGGCAUUCGUAUUUAACUGUCAGAGGUGAAAAAAUUGGAUUUGUUAAAGACGAACUACUGCGAAAGCAUUUGCCAAGGAUGUUUUCA